CGCCACGCCGCGAGUCUGCACGUGCCUGUCGUGACCAAUCACAUUCGCGAGGCACGAAUAUAUGCCUUCCGGGUUGUCGCCUCGAACAGGUGCGGGGGAGAGGCGUUAGCGGAUGGAAGCAACAGAUGCGUGGGGGCUCGUAUGUGACAUCGCACGUAGUGAAUGUGCAGGCUAGUGGUGCCUUGGGGAGACCACAGCGGCACCACUACUUUGGAUGGCGAGCUAGGCCCAACGAGCCAGAACCCCAGCUACAACUUCCUGCGGUCUGGUAGGAGGCUGCUGUGGCCUACACUCUCCCCCCCUGGUUUUCAGUCCUCUGAAUCUCACUUCUGGGAUCUCAGUCUUGGAAUCUCAGUUCUGAUCAUCACACUUCCAAGUUCAAUCUGUUGCAGACUGUCAUGCGCAUUGGAUUUAUAUCAAUCAUGAAAUAGUAAUUUUAUGGACAUUGUCUGCCGGGGGUUGGAGGAGGUUGCUGCACCAUUGUGCAGCUGAUACUUUACAAGCUUGAAUUAUGUUUUAUCUUGUCCUGUCUGCAGAUUUUGUAAAUAUUGGUAUUUGGUAAUUGCACUUUAUUUUCACUGUAAAUAACAACCGUAAUCACAAUAUCUGUUGUGGUUGUAUGUUUAUUAUACUUCACUCACCUCCCAGAGCCGAAUCUGAUAUCUUCUGAAUUAGGUCAACUACUCAUAACUAACUCAAUUUAGUUUAGCUUAUGUACUUGCUACAUA
ensembl:lncRNA